UACGUAGGUGGCAAGCGUUGUCCGGAAUUAUUGGGCGUAAAGCGUGCGCAGGCGGUUCGUUGUGUCGGCGGUGAAAGCCCCGGGCUUAACCUGGGAACGGCCGUUGAAACUGGCGAACUGGAGUGUGGCAGAGGGGGGUGGAAUUCCGCGUGUAGCAGUGAAAUGCGUAGAGAUGCGGAGGAACACCGAUGGCGAAGGCAGCCCCCUGGGCUAACACUGACGCUCAGGCACGAAAGCGUGGGGAGCAAACAGG
rnacentral:rRNA from 1 species